ensembl:lncRNA
UGUAUCUCUAGACAGAGGGACAGUUAUAGUGGUGAGUUGUAUCUCCAGACAGAGGAACAGUUAUAGUGGUGAGUUGUAUCUCCAGACAGAGAACAGUUAUAGUGGUGAGUUGUAUCUCCAGAGGAACAGUCAUAGUGGUGAGUUGUAUCCCCAGAGGAACAGUUAUAGUGGUGAGUUGUAUCUCCAGAGGAACAGUUAUAGUGGUGAGUUGUAUCUCCAGAGGAACAGUUAUAGUGGUGAGUUGUAUCUCCAGACAGAGGGACAGUUAUAGUGGUGAGUUGUAUCUCCAGACAUAGGAACAGUUAUAGUGGUGAGUUGUAUCUCCAGAGGAACAGUUCUAGUGGUGAGUUGUAUCGCCAGAGGAACAGUUAUAGUGGUGAGUUGUAUCGCCAGAGGAACAGUUAUAGUGGUGAGUUGUAUCCCCAGACAGAGGUACAGUCAUAGUGGUGAGUUGUAUCUCCAGAGGAACAGUUCUAGUGGUGAGUUGUAUCUCCAGAGGAACAGUUCUAGUGGUGAGUUGUAUCGCCAGAGGAACAGUUAUAGUGGUGAG